CCACCUCCAAGCUGCCCACCAACCAUGCUCUGACACAUUUGUAGCCUUUCAAAUGUAUCUUACCUACCCUCACAAAUGCCGUGGAGAUGCCUGAGGAGUAAAAGGAAAAUCUGAUUAUCACCUGGAGGCCUGGACUGUCAACCAUUGGUCAGGAAAGGCAAAGACACCAGCAAUUGCUUGCUUGUAUUUUGCUGCACAGUUCUCCCUGUCCCAGUCGCCAUUAAAGCAGCAAUCAGCUAAAGCCACAGUUUUCCUGGCUUCUCACCAGGCUCUGAUUAAGAGAGAACUUCUCCACCCAAUAUUUUAUACAUAAUCCUAUUGCAUGCAGCCUUGCUUCAGGAAUAUUCUAGAGGUGGCACCUGCAAUCAAAGCCUCCUCCUGCUCACUGUCAGUAGUUCACAGCUUUCUGUUCUGAGAGCCCAGACUUCCAGAUACUAGUCCUGAAGAGAAUAAAUUCUUCGAAGCUCACCUGCAGAUUUCUUUUCUUGAGCACUACCCCUUCAUCCCUCCUUCCAUAUGUGAGAUCCUGGAUGAUCAUAGGUACCUCACCUGGGUUCAUGGUGCAAAGUGUGAACAU
rnacentral:lncRNA from 1 species